rnacentral:rRNA from 1 species
UACGUAGGGUUCAAGCGUUAUCCGGAUUUAUUGGGCGUAAAGCACAUGUAGGUGGAUUGACGCGUCUCCUUUUAAAUCUCUGGGCUCAACCCAGAAUCUGGAGGAGAUACGGUCUUUCUUGUGGUCAGCAGGGGCAAAUGGAAUUCCCGGUGUAGGAGUGAAAUCCGUUGAUAUCGGGAGGAACACCAAUGGCGAAGGCAAUUUGCUAGGCUGAUUCAGACACUGAGAUGUGAAAGCGUGGGGAGCGAAUGGGAUUAGAAACCCGAGUAGU